ensembl:lncRNA
CUUGGCCAUGUUCUGUUAUAAUCUCCACCCAGCACAGCCAGAAGAGGACUGGCCACCCCACAUAGCCUGGUUCGUCUCUAGGUUUCUUCCUAGGUUCCGGCCUUUCUAGGGAGUUUUUCCUAGCCACCUUGCUUCUACACCUGCACUGCUUGCUGUUUGGGGUUUUAGGCUGGGUUUCUGUACAGCACUUUGUGACAUCACUUGAUGUAAGAAGUGCUUCAUAAAUACAUUUGAUUGAUUGAUUGUAGCGCCUUGCGGUCAGAUGCCAAGCAGUUGCCGUACCAAGUGGUGAUGCAGCAAGUCAAGAUGAUCUCAAUGGAGCAGUUGUAGAACUUUUUGCCAAAUAUUCUCAGCCUACUGAGGGGGAAGAGGCAUUGUCAUGCCUUCUUCUGUGUUGGUGUGCGUGGACCAUGUCAAUUCCUUAGUGAUGUGGACACCGAGGAACUUGAAGCUCUCAACCCGCUCCACCUCAGCACCGUCGAUGUGGAUGGGGUUCAUGCUCAGCCUUCCGUUUCCUGUAGUCAACGUGCAUUUUACUGACACGGGUGUGUUGCUCUUCGCUAUAGGGGGUAAGAUGUGGAGGUCUGGUCUUACACAGCUAACAUAUGUCAGAACACCUGAGCAGCAGCUAGCCCUCCCCAUUCCCUCCUUACGACCUGCUCCCCUCCGCUCCUCUGCCACUCCUGGGUUAAUGUGCCCCCCAGCCGUGUGGCAGGGCGAGCUGGCGCGCUUCCCUCUCGCCCGGCCAGCCCCCACGCUGGGCGACCACGGCCAACCGACAGCAUCCAUCGCCCCGACAUGACGGAUCACAUAUGGAAGCCUUCCACCACCACCGGCGCACCGGC